CGGGUGAGUAAUGAACGGGAAUCUACCUCUUUGCGGUGAAUACCUCCGCGAAAGCGGGGCUAAUACACCAUAGUUCCCUUACGGGUAAAGGGCUUAACAGCCCGCGAAGAGAUGAGCCUGUUUCCUAUCAGCCUGUUGGUGAGGUAAAAGCUCACCAAAGCGAUGACGGGUAGGGGGCGUGAGAGCGUGGCCCCCCACAAUGGCACUGAGAUACGGGCCAUACGUCUACGGACGGCAGCAACUGGGAAUAUUCGGCAAUGGGCGAAAGCCUGACCGAGCGACACCGCGUGAGGGAUUAAGGCCUACGGGUUGUAAACCUCUUUUAUUGGGGAAAAUAAUGAUGGUACCCAAAGAAUAAGCACCUGCAAACUACGUGCCAGCAGCCGCGGUAAUACGUAGGGUGCAAGCGUUAUCCGGAAUUAUUGGGCGUAAAGAGUGACGCAGGCGGAAAAUUAAGUCUUACCUCAAAAGCUUCGGCUCAACCGAAGCAUCGGGUGAGAAAACUAGUUUUCUAGAAGACUUCAGAGAGCUCUGGAACUCUGAGUGGAGCAGUGAAAUGCGUAGAGAUUCAGAGGAACACCGAGGGCGAAGGCCAAAGCUUAGGAAGUCUUGACGCUGAGGCACGAAAGCUUGGGGAGCGAAGCAGAUUAGAGACCUGCGUAGUCCAAGCCGUAACUUUGCCUGCUAGAUACCCUGUCUUAAGAAUACGAAAUUUCGUAAGCUAACGCGUUAAGCAGGCCGCCUGGGGAGUACGAACGCAAGUUUAAAACUCAAAGGAAUUGACGGGGAUCCGCACAAGCAGUGGAGCAUGUGGUUUAAUUCGAGACAAAGCGAAGGACCUCACCAAGGUUUGACAUUCUAGCUGCACGUUGCCAGAAAUGGUGACUUCUUCGAGAGUGCUGGGAAAGCUGCUGCAUGGCUGUCGUCAGCUCGUGCCGUGGGGUGUAGAUUUAAGUAUCAUAACGAGCGCAACCCUCAUUCUUUGUUAAAUUAUUCAAAGAAAACUGCCUGGCAAGUUUAUGCUGGGAGGAAGGCGAGGAUGACGUCAAGUCAGCACGGCGCUUAUGCCUUGGGCCACACACAUCCUACAAUGGCGAAUAACAACGGGUUGCAACUGGGUAACCAGAAGCUAAUCUCUGAAAUUUCGCCUCAGUUCAGAUUGGGGUCUGAAACUCGACCCCAUGAAGUCGGAAUUGCUAGUAAACGCGGAUCAGCAGGCCGCGUUGAAUACGUUCUCGGAUCUUGUACACACCGCCCGUCAAGCCAACAAAGUCGGGGGCAGCCGAAAGUCCGCCGUUAGGCGGGGCUAAGCUGAACG
rnacentral:rRNA from 1 species